AUACGUAGGUGGCGAGCGUUGUCCGGAAUUACUGGGUGUAAAGGGCGUGUAGGCGGGAAUGUAAGUCAGAUGUGAAAUCCCCGUGCUUAACAUGGGGAUUGCAAUAGAAACUGUAUAGCUAGAGUGCAGGAGAGGUAAGUGGAAUUCCUAGUGUAGCGGUGAAAUGCAUAGAUAUUAGGAGGAACACCAGUGGCGAAGGCGACUUGCUGGACAUUAACUGACGCUGAGGCGACGAAAGCGUGGGGAGC
rnacentral:rRNA from 1 species